GAUGAAGAACGUAUCGAAAUGCGAUAAGUAAUGUGAAUUGCAGAAUUCAGUGAAUCAUCGAAUCUUUGAACGCACAUUGCGCCCCUUGGUAUUCCGAGGGGCAUGCCUGUUCGAGCGUCAUUAUAACCCCUCAAGCUCAGCUUGGUGUUGGGGCCUGCCGCACGGGCAGCCCUUAAAAUCAGUGGCGGUGCCAUCUGGCUCUAAGCGUAGUAAUUCUUCUCGCUAUAGAGUCCCGGUGGAUGCUUGCCAUUAACCCCCAAUUUUCUAUGGUUGACCUCGGAUCAGGUAGGGAUACCCGCUGAACUUAAGCAUAUCAAUAAGCGGAGGA
rnacentral:misc_RNA from 1 species